CACCCCAAAAGAGGAUUCAGAAGGUUGUUUUGAGAGAAGGAAAAUUGCAGACAACAGGGAAGACUUCUCCAUCAUGAAAGCUUUAAGUUAGGAGAAAAAGGGAGACGAAAGACCAUUGGAAGGAUGCAGACCAGCAGCCUCCGUCCCCUUAACUGGCUGAGCUGCUGGUUUGAGCUAUCUUCUGCAGCUUACAGAAAAUCAAGCUUCUCCCCAAAGAAGAAAUGAAGAUAACUACCCAAAAGGCCGAUGGCUUUACAGCUUGGCAGACAUUGGAAUCCCCUGGAGAACUCUUUUUUUGACACCUGGUGAGGUCUGUGGAGAGAAACCUGCAAGGGAGUGUGAAUCUUCCCUUGUUUUUUUUUUUGCCCCUGGAAACCACCAUUCAACUUUCUGUCUCUGUGAAUUUCACUGUUCUAUGUACCUCAUAAUCCUGCCUUGAUACAAAACAGUAUCACAUGUGUGCACCUAGGGGAGAAGAAGAAGAGAAACAGCUGGAAACGUGGAUCUCAUUGGAUUACAGAGGGCCUUGAAUGCCACAUAAGGAAUUUGGACUUUCUUCUGUGGAUAGCUGCAUUUCGAACUCUCCAGACCUGGCUAAUUACAAAUGACGUGUAUGCACAAAAGGUUAUCAUGGAGCUGCGGUUCACCUUCCAGUGAUGAUCAUCCCACAGCCCCAACCCACACCCUCCACCAACACACAAUUUUAUACACAUAGUGCACACAUACCCCACACCACAAAAUUACCCUCACACACAUGCACCACACAGAGCCCAGACCACACAUUCCUAUACACCACAUGCAUGCAACGCACAUACCAGACACACACAUACACCCGACACACUACACACACCACACACACCCCACACCCCACAACACACCACACACACGCAGUCUGCAGGCUGUCUGGAGGCUGCUGCUGCUAUCCAGAGAGACGUGGUGAAAAGACUAAGCUUUUAGGGACCAUGCAGGCUCAGAAACGGACAAGAGGAAAGAGCUGCGACAAGCAGGUGAGCUGAGAGCCACUCACCAGAACAGAGUUCCAGCAGGGCUGCCUCACGCUAAGGAGACCUUCCCUGGCCCACAGCCAGGUUUUGCUGCAAAGAGGAUAUUAGAGCUAAUUAGACUCACAGCUUUGGACGGACCUCUGAAUAACCAAUAAGUUAUCUCUUAUGGAAACAUGCUAGCCAGCACAGCCAUCCUCUGCCUUAAUCGCACGUCUCUGCGGCCAUAAGCUUCCACUGGCUCCUACAAACUGAAUAUAAAAAACUAAGAGACAAGUGAGCAUCGGCACCCCUGCUGGGAAGGGCCCACUUUUCCCAUUCAAGUUGGGGUAUCAAGGUUUUGAGAGCUCAGAAUAUGAUGAAGUGCACAGCUACCACCUCUCUGGGAUGAAAGAACUGAGUUGUUCAUGUACUUCCUGGCAUUUCUUACCGUCUCACCAG
rnacentral:lncRNA from 10 species